rnacentral:miRNA from 1 species
AAACAAUCCAAUGACU